UGAGGAAUAUUGGUCAAUGGGCGGGAGCCUGAACCAGCCAAGUCGCGUGAGGGAAGACGGUCCUAUGGAUUGUAAACCUCUUUUGUCGGGGAGCAAAGAGGCCACGUGUGGUCAAAAGCGAGAGUACCCGAAGAAAAAGCAUCGGCUAACUCCGUGCCAGCAGCCGCGGUAAUACGGAGGAUGCGAGCGUUAUCCGGAUUUAUUGGGUUUAAAGGGUGCGUAGGCGGGACGGUAAGUCAGCGGUAAAAAAUGCGGAGCUCAACUCCGUCGAGCCGUUGAAACUGCCGUUCUUGAGUGAGCGAGAAGUAUGCGGAAUGCGUGGUGUAGCGGUGAAAUGCAUAGAUAUCACGCAGAACUCCGAUUGCGAAGGCAGCAUACCGGCGCUCAACUGACGCUGAAGCACGAAGGCGUGGGUAUCGAACAGGAUUAGAUACC
rnacentral:rRNA from 1 species